UACGAAGGGAGCUAGCGUUGUUCGGAAUCACUGGGCGUAAAGCGCACGUAGGCGGAUGUGUCAGUCAGGGGUGAAAUCCCGGAGCUCAACUUCGGAACUGCCUUUGAUACAGCACGUCUUGAGUCCGAUAGAGGUGGGUGGAAUUCCUAGUGUAGAGGUGAAAUUCGUAGAUAUUAGGAAGAACACCGGUGGCGAAGGCGGCCCACUGGAUCGGUACUGACGCUGAGGUGCGAAAGCGUGGAGAGCAAACAGG
rnacentral:rRNA from 1 species